rnacentral:rRNA from 1 species
GAUGAACGCUGGCGGCGUGCUUAACACAUGCAAGUCGAACGAUGAAAGCGGGAGCUUGCUCCUGCUGGAUUAGUGGCGAACGGGUGAGUAACACGUGAGCAAUCUGCCCCGAACUCUGGGAUAAGCGUUGGAAACGACGUCUAAUACCGGAUACGACGCGCGAAGGCAUCUUCUGCGCGUGGAAAGAACUUCGGUUCGGGAUGAGCUCGCGGCCUAUCAGCUAGUUGGUGGGGUAACGGCCCACCAAGGCGACGACGGGUAGCCGGCCUGAGAGGGUGACCGGCCACACUGGGACUGAGACACGGCCCAGACUCCUACGGGAGGCAGCAGUGGGGAAUAUUGCACAACGGGCGCAAGCCUGAUGCAGCAACGCCGCGUGAGGGGCGACGGCCUUCGGGUUGUAAACCUCUUUUAGUAGGGAAGAAGCGAAAGUGACGGUACCUGCAGAAAAAGCACCGGCUAACUACGUGCCAGCCGCCGCAGUAAAAC